rnacentral:rRNA from 1 species
GUUAUAACCGGCGAUACCCGAAUGGGGAAACCCAGUGUGACUCGUCACACUAUCAUUAACUGAAUCCAUAGGUUAAUGAGGCGAACCGGGGGAACUGAAACAUCUAAGUACCCCGAGGAAAAGAAAUCAACCGAGAUUCCCCCAGUAGCGGCGAGCGAACGGGGAGGAGCCCAGAGCCUGAAUCAGCAUGUGUGUUAGUGGAAGCGUCUGGAAAGGCGCGCGAUACAGGGUGACAGCCCCGUACACAAAAGCGCAUGUGCUGUGAGCUCGAUGAGUAGGGCGGGACACGUGGUAUCCUGUCUGAAUAUGGGGGGACCAUCCUCCAAGGCUAAAUACUCCUGACUGACCGAUAGUGAACCAGUACCGUGAGGGAAAGGCGAAAAGAACCCCGGCGAGGGGAGUGAAAAAGAACCUGAAACCGUGUACGUACAAGCAGUGGGAGCACCCUUUGGGGUGUGACUGCGUACCUUUUGUAUAAUGGGUCAGCGACUUAUAUUCUGUAGCAAGGUUAACCGUAUAGGGGAGCCGGAGGGAAACCGAGUCUUAAUUGGGCGUUAAGUUGCAGGGUAUAGACCCGAAACCCGGUGAUCUAGCCAUGGGCAGGUUGAAGGUUGGGUAACACUAACUGGAGGACCGAACCGACUAAUGUUGAAAAAUUAGCGGAUGACCUGUGGCUGGGGGUGAAAGGCCAAUCAAACCGGGAGAUAGCUGGUUCUCCCCGAAAGCUAUUUAGGUAGCGCCUCGUGAAUUCAUCUCCGGGGGUAGAGCACUGUUUCGGCUAGGGGGCCAUCCCGGCUUACCAACCCGAUGCAAACUGCGAAUACCGGAGAAUGUUAUCACGGGAGACACACGGCGGGUGCUAACGUCCGUCGUGAAGAGGGAAACAACCCAGACCGCCAGCUAAGGUCCCAAAGUCAUGGUUAAGUGGGAAACGAUGUGGGAAGGCCCAGACAGCCAGGAUGUUGGCUUAGAAGCAGCCAUCAUUUAAAGAAAGCGUAAUAGCUCACUGGUCGAGUCGGCCUGCGCGGAAGAUGUAACGGGGCUAAACCAUGCACCGAAGCUGCGGCAGCGACACUCAGGUGUUGUUGGGUAGGGGAGCGUUCUGUAAGCCUGUGAAGGUGUGUCGUGAGGCAUGCUGGAGGUAUCAGAAGUGCGAAUGCUGACAUAAGUAACGAUAAAGCGGGUGAAAAGCCCGCUCGCCGGAAGACCAAGGGUUCCUGUCCAACGUUAAUCGGGGCAGGGUGAGUCGACCCCUAAGGCGAGGCCGAAAGGCGUAGUCGAUGGGAAACGGGUUAAUAUUCCCGUACUUGGUGUUACUGCGAAGGGGGGACGGAGAAGGCUAUGUUGGCCGGGCGACGGUUGUCCCGGUUUAAGCGUGUAGGUGUGUGUUCCAGGUAAAUCCGGUUCACUUUAACACUGAGGCGUGACGACGAGGCACUACGGUGCUGAAGCAACAAAUGCCCUGCUUCCAGGAAAAGCCUCUAAGCAUCAGGUAACAUCAAAUCGUACCCCAAACCGACACAGGUGGUCAGGUAGAGAAUACCAAGGCGCUUGAGAGAACUCGGGUGAAGGAACUAGGCAAAAUGGUGCCGUAACUUCGGGAGAAGGCACGCUGACACGUAGGUGAAGUGAUUUACUCAUGGAGCUGAAGUCAGUCGAAGAUACCAGCUGGCUGCAACUGUUUAUUAAAAACACAGCACUGUGCAAACACGAAAGUGGACGUAUACGGUGUGACGCCUGCCCGGUGCCGGAAGGUUAAUUGAUGGGGUCAGCGCAAGCGAAGCUCCUGAUCGAAGCCCCGGUAAACGGCGGCCGUAACUAUAACGGUCCUAAGGUAGCGAAAUUCCUUGUCGGGUAAGUUCCGACCUGCACGAAUGGCGUAAUGAUGGCCAGGCUGUCUCCACCCGAGACUCAGUGAAAUUGAACUCGCUGUGAAGAUGCAGUGUACCCGCGGCAAGACGGAAAGACCCCGUGAACCUUUACUAUAGCUUGACACUGAACAUUGAGCCUUGAUGUGUAGGAUAGGUGGGAGGCUUU